ensembl:lncRNA
GAUAUAUGACAAUUUAGAAAAUGGAAAAUGCAUUCCUUAGCUUCAUUUCACUGCAGUUACAGCCUUGCAACAUUACCCGUGAGAUAAUACUUCAGUGCUCCUGUUUUUUGUUUACCACUCUGAGACUGUCACCUCUGUGGAUAAGUCUAGGAGCUCAGAGUAUUUGUGCACCAUUUUACUGUCUGCUUCACUCUUUCUCAUGCCCAAAUUGGAUUAGGUCCAUCAUAACUAAAGGAAGGAACGGAGUAUGAAUCAUCUACUGUACUAAGUUUGACAGAGCACUAUUAAGUGCUACAGAGUUCAUCCUGCAAAUGAUCUUCAGAUGCAGUCUGUUUUAAGGGCUUCCAUGUCAGUAAGUAUGCUAACGAAACUGUAGAUAAUGAAUAGCAAGAUUCUUUUAUAAUUUCCAUCUUUAUUUUGUUUGGAGUGUGGGAAUGGAUCCUGGUGGGAUUAUUCAUAACGCUUCUUUGAUUCAAAUGUGGCGAAGCACUAGGUAGAAUGCCAGUCUUUGAUGCCCUCCUUGGAAAAUUCUUACUGUGCAGUAACGUUAGCACAUAAGUUAGUGUCAUUUGUUCAUCAAAUGGGCUAUUUUCAAUUUCUUAUGAGAGACUGAUCGAGAAAAACAUUUUCAAUCUCAAGUCAUUAUCCCAAGACAUGGGAAGGAUUUUUCCUUUAGGAAGCAGUUAGUAUUUGACUUGAAAAUGAACAGAACUUCACUGGAGUGGAAAGGGACUGCAUAUUCAGAAACACAGAUUAUUACUUAAGAAAUACUGUAUGAGGCUGCUCAUCCCAUAAGCAGUCAAGGACUCAUUUCUCCUCCUGUGUUGAAGUGGUAGGGCAUCAGGGUAGUCUCUACUUUUUCUGUUUGUUUGAUCUUCUUGUAAUAAUGCUGAUUUCGAUCAUGUCAAAUGCAAAUAGAAGGCCCUAAUAUUCAUGCCAAAAUUUUCUUCUUUUCCACCAUCCAUGCUGCUUAUUCUUACCCUUGUUUCCCCUUGACAUCUUCGUUCAGGAUGCUAGCUCCACUUGACAAAAAGACAAGUGUCUAUCUCAACUUUUAAUAUUCUAGAUAUAUCUACUCUUAUACAGUGUACCGUAUGGGAGAGACAACUAAGGUAGCUUUAUAUUAGCUUAUUUGGAUGUGUGGGGCAGAAUAAUAUAAUGAAUAUAAUAAAGCAUAGGAUCCCCACCCCUCUUUCACAAAUCCUACUUGCUACAUGUUUUUUCACCAAUUAAAUCUCUAUAUAUUGUAGUUAGGGAUGGAGCCAGUGUUCUUGUUCUUCUCUAAGAUACCAACAUUCUCAUAUCAUCUGGUCAUCUACAAUUUUGUCUUUUAUACUGAUUUCAUUAUAAAUAAUGAUAUUAGGGUCUGCAGAGCUUAAUGAAAAGUUAGGCUUAGCAACAAUGCCCAGCAGGGCAGAAUGCAGCCACAGUAAAGUAAUAGUACUAACAAGAAGUAAAGCUUACUGGGAAUCCAUAGGUCUCCAAGUGACUUGAUAGCCUGUGAGGAUAUAUAGGAGAACAGUCAAAGAACUGAUAUCUAUUUUGGACUAAAAGCUUGUUUGGUAGAUGCUGUAACACAGCUAGUCCAAGCUAGAAGCUGUUAGUAUGACUCUUGAUUGAAUUUAGGUACUUUCUCUCCUGAGGAGCAAGGUGUUCAAGAUUUUACCCUGGAGAAUUAGAAAAAGAACUUUUUUUUUUUUUUUGUAUGUUUUGUUUGUUUGUUUUAACCUGUUCAGUGACCAAAAUGAUGAUUAAUUAGCACAUAUAUAUGCUACCAAGAAUGAGUAUGGUAGCCACUCCACUACAUCUUAUUUUAAGGUAGCUGUUCAACUAUGUCUUAAUUAAAGUGUGGUAUAAUAUUAUACACACCCGAUGUCAGCAUGUAAAUAUUUAGGAACUGUUGCUAUGAAUAACUGUGGUGAAUAAAUUAGGCUGUACCUAGGGUCUCCUAGAAGAAGUCCUGAAAACAUUGUUCCUUGAGACUGUGUCUUGUAAACCACACAAGACACAGCAUUCUACAAUAUAUUAAAAAGACAAAUGUGCUAAUAUUGUAGAAGAAAAUACAGUUCAGUGAGGUCCUAGUUUCCAGGCAAUAAAAACAAAACCUUUUCUACUCUCAGUUCCACUCACAGAAUGAACAGGAACUGGAUCAGACUGUGAGGUAUUGUUCCUCACACU